rnacentral:piRNA from 1 species
UCCUUUUUUUUCGAUACCUUC